rnacentral:lncRNA from 1 species
UCCAUGAUAGGUCAGCUACAUCAUCACCCCUGCUCCUCCAUGAUAGGUCAGCUACAUCAUCACCCCUGCUCCUCCAUGAUAGGUCAGCUACAUCAUCCUACUCCUCCAUGAUAGGUCAGCUACAUCAUCACUCCUGCUCCUCCAUGAUAGGUCAGCUACAUCAUCACCCCUGCUCCUCCAUGAUAUGUCAGCUACAUCAUCACCCCUGCUCCUCCAUGAUAUGUCAGCUAAAUCAUCACCCCUGCUCCUCCAUGAUAGGUCAGCUACAUCAUCACCCCUGCUACUCUAUGAUAGGUCAGCUACAUCAUUAUCCUGCUCCUCCAUGAUAGGUCAGCUAACAUCAACACCCCUGCUCCUCCAUGAUAGGUCAGCUACAUCAUCACCCCUGCUCCUCCAUGAUAGGUCAGCUACAUCAUCAUCCUGCUCAUCCAUGAUAGGUCAGCUACAUCAUCACCCCUGCUCCUCCAUCAAAGGUCAGCUACAUCAUCACCCCUGCUCCUCCAUGAUAGGUCAGCUACAUCAUCACCCCUGCUCCUCCAUGAUAGGUCAGCUACAUCAUCACCCCUGCUCCUCCAUGAUAGGUCAGCUACAUCAUCCUGCUCCUCCAUGAUAGGUCAGCUACAUCAUCACUCCUGCUCCUCCAUGAUAGGUCAGCUACAUCAUCACCCCUGCUCCUCCAUGAUAUGUCAGCUACAUCAUCACCCCUGCUCCUCCAUGAUAUGUCAGCUACAUCAUCACCCCUGCUCCUCCAUGAUAGGUCAGCUACAUCAUCACCCCUGCUACUCUAUGAUAGGUCAGCUACAUCAUCAUCCCUGCUCCUCCAUGAUAGGUCAGCUACAUCAUCACCCCUGCUCCUCCAUGAUAGGUCAGCUACAUCAUCACCCCUGCUCCUCCAUGAUAGGUCAGCUACAUCAUCACCCCUGCUCCUCCAUUAUAGGUCAGCUACAUCAUCUCUCCUGCUCCUCCCUGAUAGGUAAGCCACAUAAUUCUGCUCCUCCAUGAUAUGUCAGCUACAUCAUCACUCCUGCUCCUUCAUGAUAGGUCAGCUACAUCAUCACCCCUGCUCCUCCAUGAUAGGUCAGCUACAUCAUCACCCCUGCUACUCUAUGAUAGGUCAGCUACAUCAUCAACCCUGCUCCUCCAUGAUAGGUCAGCUACAUCAUCACCCCUGCUCCUCCAUGAAAGGUCAGCUACAUCAUCACCCCUGCUCCUCCAUGAUAGGUCAGCUACAUCAUCACCCCUGCUCCUCCAUGAUAGGUCAGCUACAUCAUCACCCUGGUCCUCCAUGAUAGGUCAGCUACAUCAUCACCCCUGCUCCUCCAUGAUAUGUCAGCUAAAUCAUCACCCCUGCUCCUCCAUGAUAGGUCAGCUACAUCAUCACCCCUGCUACUCUAUGAUAGGUCAGCUACAUCAUCACCCCUGCUCCUCCAUGAUAGGUCAGCUACAUCAUCACCCCUGCUCCUCCAUGAAAGGUCAGCUACAUCAUCACCCCUGCUCCUCCAUGAUAGGUCAGCUACAUCAUCACCCCUGCUCCUCCAUGAUAGGUCAGCUACAUCAUCACCCC